AUCUCCUUUCAAAUUUUUUCAUUUUACCCUUUUAAUUUUUAAUAUUUCCUAGUUGCCCUUUUAAAAUAGAAAAGUUGUUUCAUUUUUUCCCUUUAACAGGGCAUGAAGAAUAGAGGAAUAGAAAGUGAGAGAGAAUGGUGAGGUAGCUACCGGAGAGUUCUUUCAGCUCUGCCACAUUCUUCUGGGUCUUGGGCUUGGACUCACUGCCUUAGCGUUCUACUUGGUCGGCGAGUAGAUCUACAACAAAACCCUUGGUCCUUCCUCCUUCUCUUCUUCUGGGUUUGCUUUUAUUUUGUUUUUAUUAGCUAUUGGGGAAUAAUUGGAUGGGGGUUUGGGAUUUUGGCAUCGGGGGGAUGGGUCAAGGAGAUAGGGUGAGUUAACCAGGUGCGGAGGAGUGGAUGCUUUGAGAUGCAGAGUUUCUUUGUUCAUUGUAUUAUAAGCACCUCAAAACUGAAUAGACCACAACUGGAUGGUUAGACAAUCGUGGAAGUCAAUAACAUCACAGAUAUUAAUAGCAUCAUAAAACAUCAUUUCAAGACCCACCCUUCAGGUAUUGCAAUAUUGGAAGAAGAAAAAGGUAAUUGUUAAUUUUCAUUUGAUUCAUUAUAGGUUUUUAUGGUCUUUAAAAGUUAUCUGAAAAAUAUAAAAGAUAUGUUAUAUUUUUGGAGAUAUAAUUUAGAGUCCCAAUGCCUUAUAUCAAGGUGGAGACAUUGAAUGAAAAAUGAAUGAGGUUUAAGAACAAAGGGCUAUUUGAUAGGAAAUAUCAUUUUUAUUUUGUGAUCUUUGUGGAAAAAGUAAAACAUCAUUUUGGGAAUUUUUUAGAGGGGAAGCAAUGAUUCUUAUAUGAUCAUAAUGAGAUUGUUGAAUCUGGUAUUAGCUUUUUAAGAUCUUCAAAAUUAAAACAAAUUUAGAUUUGAAUAAGAUUCUAAAUUUAGUUUCAACAAUUAUUUGUUUGCACGAGAAUAUUGACUAUGAUGAAUAUAUAAAUAUAUAUAUAUAUAUAUAUAAAAUGAAGAAAAUAUAGUUUUGAGGCAGACUAUUAUGAUUAGCAAGAUUUUCACAUAUAUGUACUUUCAACAGUUUUCAAUCUUAGUUUGACUCUCUUUCAUUUCCUCUCUACCUCAAAUCUUGCUUCUUCAAAUCUGUCUAUGAAACAAUUCCAACUUCUAAGGCCAAUGGCUUUCUGAAUCCAUUGCCUCAACUCCAAACAUGCAUCAAGGAUUGCAUUUUUCAUCUUGCCAAGACAUAAUAAGUUAUUGUGGAGAUUGGUGGCUCAAAAAAGGAGGUAUAAUAUUAAACCAAAAGUAUAUUUAAAUGAACUUUACACAACUUUAUUAUCAAUGAAAGACAUAAAUAUUUGGAAUAUAUUUCUAUUUCAUUUACCUUUACAGAGUUUUUAGUCAUGAUUCAUUCAAGAAAAAAAGGUAUAUAUUAAAUCAUAAUUUUAGUUCUUAGGUUGCUACAAAUACAUAUCAAUGGCAGAAUGUGAUGAUCACAUAUUAGAAAAUUUUAAGGCCUAUUCCAUUUUUCUAUAUUAAGCCCCCUCAGACUAUCUCACUUGCAAAUUUUGAUGAUCCAAUUGGAAAUUUCUCCAAUAAUCAUCAAGAAGAUUAUAUAUUUUGGAGUUAAUAUUCUUUGCCUUGUGAUAUUGGAUAAGAGUUAGACAUUAUAUUUCAUUUGUUGCUCAAAUUAAUAUUCAUAUGUUUUCUGCAUUGAAAAACAUUUAAUUUUUGUGGUUAGGUUGAGAUACUAGUUUUGUACAUAUGAAAUUUGACUCCUAACAAAUUCUGCAUAAUGGUUGCACCUCAGUUCAAGAGUUUUGAAGAUCUUCUAUCAACUACAGUAAACUCUGUGAGUUGAUUAUUUGAAUUCUACAUAGAGCAGGUAAUUCACCAUAAGAAUUCUGAUAGCAGUUAUAUUUCUUGGUGGUAAUCUACCUAAAACAAAUUUGCAAAAGGAAGGUUUAUUUGCUAUAUGAUAAUAAUAAGUCCGAUAUACAGCUACAUUAAUGUUGCUCUGGUUGUAAGACAAAAUUUUGACAACUAAAUAACAUGAAGAGUGCAAAUCUCAUUUUCUUAAAAAAAUGUAUUAUUAUCUGAAAAAUUAUAAUGCACUGAAUUGGUUUUCAAUUAUUCUCCUCCAAUAAUGUUAAAUGCAUAUGAAUCAUUAUAGAAAUUUUAUUGUUAAGUUUCAAUUCAAAGCUAUGUUAUAUUCCGAGCUCUAUGAAUGUCCUUAAAAUUUGGCCUCAUAAGUUUUACUUUUGACAGCCCAAAACUCAGGAGGUUAAGAAGGAACUCACAGACAGGGACGUUUAGGAGGGUUUUGACAUUACUCUUACAAAACAUAGGGGGCAGGUGAUUGACGAGUUUGAUCAUAAUGUACAUUUUGUUGAAACUGAUAUUGAGGAAAAUCUAGAAAUAGCAGAAGUAGCUGGUAUUAUGGGUACACCAUGUGUUCAAUUUUUCAAAAACAAGGAAAAUUUGAGGUUGUUUUUCUUCUACACUCCUGGUGCUGGUCCAACUGUCAAAUCUGGUUCAAAGGGAAAGCGCCAUCAUUUGAUACUGACUAAAACCCUUGAGUGGACCUUAAAUUGGUGCAUACUACAGAGCAUGUUUGAUAGAACCCUAGUGGAGUUGGAAGGUUUGAAAAAAGCAAACAUUCGAGAUGGCGUUGAAGUGGUGCAAUAUCUUGUCUGGUUGGAUAAGCAGGCAAACACUUAAACUGACAGAGGUGACUACAAGCGAUAAGCUGGAAAGUAUCGGCAUGGUACAGGCCACGGAAUUGGGUUUUACCUUAAUGUUCAUGAAGG